CCUACGGGCUGCAGCAGUGGGGAAUAUUGCACAAUGGGCGCAAGCCUGAUGCAGCCAUGCCGCGCGUGUGAAGAAGGCCUUCGGGUUGUAAAGCACUUUCAGCGGGGAGGAAGGCGGUGAGGUUAAUAACCUCACCCAUUGACGUUACCCGCAGAAGAAGCACCGGCUAACUCCGUGCCAGCAGCCGCGGUAAUACGGAGGGUGCAAGCGUUAAUCGGAAUUACUGGGCGUAAAGCGCACGCAGGCGGUUUGUUAAGUCAGAUGUGAAAUCCCCGGGCUCAACCUGGGAACUGCAUCUGAUACUGGCAAGCUUGAGUCUCGUAGAGGGGGGUAGAAUUCCAGGUGUAGCGGUGAAAUGCGUAGAGAUCUGGAGGAAUACCGGUGGCGAAGGCGGCCCCCUGGACGAAGACUGACGCUCAGGUGCGAAAGCGUGGGGAGCAAACAGGAUUAGAUACCCUUGUAGUC
rnacentral:rRNA from 1 species